GAUAUAAGUUUCAUAUCUUCUACUUUGCAUUACUUUUUUUCUGUUUCUUGUCAACUUUUCUUUUUUUUCCUUUUUGCCUGUUGGGUGGCCAAAUGGGCCUGGUUAAGAAUUAAUUUUCAAAAUUUGAAGUGAUAUGUCGUGUUUUUAUUGUAAUCAGUAAGUUCUGACUGGUCACCUAAUAUUUUAUUUUAUGGUUCCUUGCUUUUUUCUGUGUGAAGCCAAAUGCUGCGGUUGUGGAUGGAGUU
rnacentral:misc_RNA from 1 species